rnacentral:rRNA from 1 species
GUUUGGCUCACGAACGCGCGGCGUGCUUAACACAUGCAAGUCGAACGGUAAGGCCCUUGGGGGUACACGAGUGGCGAACGGGUGAGUAACACGUGGGUAAUCUGCCCUGCACUUCGGGAUAAGCCUGGGAAACGGGUCUAAUACCGGAUAUGAACUCCUGCAUGGUGGGGGUUGGAAAGUUUUUCGGUGCAGGAUGAGCCCGCGGCCUAUCAGCUUGUUGGUGGGGUAAUGGCCUACCAAGGCGACGACGGGUAGCCGGCCUGAGAGGGUGAUCGGCCACACUGGGACUGAGACACGGCCCAGACUCCUACGGGAGGCAGCAGUGGGGAAUAUUGCACAAUGGGCGAAAGCCUGAUGCAGCGACGCCGCGUGGGGGAUGACGGUCUUCGGAUUGUAAACCCCUUUCAGUAGGGACGAAGCGCAAGUGACGGUACCUGCAGAAGAAGCACCGGCUAACUACGUGCCAGCAGCCGCGGUAAUACGUAGGGUGCGAGCGUUGUCCGGAAUUACUGGGCGUAAAGAGCUCGUAGGCGGUUUGUCACGUCGUCUGUGAAAUCCCUCGGCUUAACCGGGGGCGUGCAGGCGAUACGGGCAGACUGAGUACUACAGGGGAGACUGGAAUUCCUGGUGUAGCGGUGAAAUGCGCAGAUAUCAGGAGGAACACCGGUGGCGAAGGCGGGUCUCUGGGUAGUAACUGACGCUGAGGAGGAAAGCAAGCGUCCUUUCCC